rnacentral:tRNA from 1 species
GUUAUUUUGGCAGAAAAGUGCUAUAAAUUUAGAAUUUAUGAAUAUGUUGAUUAAGAACAUAAAUAAUA